GUGUUUGUUGGUAUGGGCGUUUGGUGGAUGCCUUGGUACCAGGUGCCGAUGAAGGACGUUGCGGCCGGCGAUAGCCCCGGGGAGUUGGCGAGUGAGUGUUGAUCCGGGGGUUUCCGAAUGGGGGAACCUAGCCCGAGUUGUGUCGGGUUGCCACAGGGUGAAUUGAUAGUCUUGUGGUGGGUGACGUAGGGAAGUGAAACAUCUUAGUACCUACAGGAAAAGAUAUUCCGUGAGUAGUGGCGAGCGAAAGCGGAUGAUGGCUAAACCGUGUGUGUGUGAUACUCGGCAGGGGUUGCAUGUGCGGUGUUGUGGGGUCUGCUUGUUGGUUGCUGCCGUGGCCAAGAUCCUAUCGGACGGUUGAGGUGAAACAGUUGGGAUGCUGUACCGGAGUGCGUGAGAGUCGUGUAGCUGGUUGAUCGUUUGGUGGGGUUUGAGUGGUGUCCCCGAGUAGCGCGGGGCUCGUGGAAUCUCGUGUGAAUCUGCCCAGACCACUGGGUAAGCCUGAAUACGUCCUGGUGACCGAUAGUGGAUUAGUACCGUGAGGGAAUGGUGAAAAGUACCCCGGGAGGGGAGUGAAAGAGUUCUUGAAACCAAGCGUCUGCAAGCCGUCAGAGCCUGCCUGUGUGGUGGGUGGUGGCGUGCCUUUUGAAGAAUGAGCCUGCGAGUUAUGAUGCGUGGCGAGGUUAACCCGUGUGGGGUAGUCGUAGCGAAAGCGAGUCUGGUAAGGGCGUGUAGUUGCGUGUUGUAGACCCGAAGCGGGGUGAUCUACCCAUGGCCAGGUUGAAGCGGUGGUAGUACAUCGUGGAGGACCGAACCCACCUAGGUUGAAAACUGGGGGGAUGAGUUGUGGGUAGGGGUGAAAGGCCAAUCAAACUCCGUGAUAGCUGGUUCUCCCCGAAAUGUAUUUAGGUACAGCGUCUCGUGUGCUUGCGUGAGGUAGAGCUACUGGUUGGCUGAUGGGCCGUGUUGGUUACUGACGUCAGCUAAACUCCGAAUGCGCGUUAAGUUGAGCGGGGCAGUGAGACUGCGGGGGAUAAGCUUCGUAGUCGAGAGGGAAACAGCCCUGAUCGCCGGUUAAGGUCCCUAAGAGUAUGCUGAGUGGGAAAGGAUGUGGAGUUGCUGUGACAGCCAGGAGGUUGGCUUAGAAGCAGCCAUCCUUGAAAGAGUGCGUAAUAGCUCACUGGUCAAGUGGUUCCGCGCCGAUAAUGUAGCGGGGCUUAAGCAUACCGCCGAAACCGCGGCUAUACACCUGUGUGGUGUGUGGGGUAGGGGAGCGUCCUGCGUGAGUUGAAGUCGCCGUGUGAGCGUGUGGUGGAUUGCGUGGGAGUGAGAAUGCAGGCAUGAGUAGCGAGUGACAGGUGAGAAUCCUGUCCGCCGAUAAACCAAGGGUUCCAGGGGCAGGUUUAUCCGCCCUGGGUUAGUCGGGUCCUAAGGCGAGGCCGUCAGGCGUAGUCGAUGGUUGACCAGUUGAUAUUCUGGUACCGGCUCAUAAUCGUCCAUGGCGCUCAUCAGUGUUGUCUCACCGACGCUACUGCCUGUCUGUGCCCUUUCGGGGGUGUGGGUUGUGUGGUGGUCUUGGUGGGGCAUGGGUGGGUUGUCAAGCGUGUUAACAGGGGUGACGCACAGUGGUAGCCUGGCGCGGCGGUGGUUGUCCGUGUUCAAGCCCGCAGCCUGUCUUCUAGGUAAAUCCGGGAGGCGUGAAGGGUGAGGGGUGAUGGUGGCCCACUUUUUUGUGGGGAUAACAGGGUGUGCCUGUGGUGCCUAGAAAAGCCUCGGCGUGAGAGUAUGAGCCGCCCGUACCCUAAACCGACUCUGGUGGUUGGGUAGAGUAUACCAAGGCGAGCGAGAGAAUCGUGGUUAAGGAACUCGGCAAAUUGCCUCCGUAACUUCGGGAGAAGGAGGCCCCAUGGCUUGAAGCCUGUUUACUAGGCUAGGGCUUGUGGGGGGCACAUGUUGGGGGGAAGCGACUGUUUAUCAAAAACACAGGUGCGUGCGAAGCCGUAAGGCGAUGUAUACGCACUGACGCCUGCCCGGUGCUGGAAGGUUAAGCGGAAGACUCAACCUCUUUGGGGGUGAAGGUUUGAAGUUAAGCCCCAGUAAACGGCGGUGGUAACUAUAACCAUCCUAAGGUAGCGAAAUUCCUUGUCGGGUAAGUUCCGACCUGCACGAAUGGCGUAACGACUUCCCUGCUGUCUUAACCGCGAACUCGGCGAAAUUGCAUUACGAGUAAAGAUGCUCGUUACGCGCAGCAGGACGGAAAGACCCCGGGACCUUUACUAUAGCUUGGUAUUGGUGUCUGGUUAUGUUUGUGUAGGAUAGGUGGGAGACUGUGAGGCCUUCACGCUAGUGGGGGUGGAGUCGGCAAGUGAAAUACCACUCUGAUGUAAUUGGUCAUCUCAACCUCGGCCCGUGAUCCGGGUCAGGGACAGUGCCUGGUGGGUAGUUUAACUGGGGCGGUUGCCUCCUAAAAGGUAACGGAGGCGCUCAAAGGUUCCCUCAGCCUGGUUGGUAAUCAGGUGUUGAGUGUAAGUGUAGAAGGGAGCUUGACUGUGAGACUGACGGGUCGAGCAGGUGCGAAAGCAGGAACUAGUGAUCCGGCCAUGGCUUGUGGAAGCGUGGUCGCUCAACGGAUAAAAGGUACCCCGGGGAUAACAGGCUGAUCUUGCCCAAGAGUCCAUAUCGACGGCAUGGUUUGGCACCUCGAUGUCGGCUCGUCGCAUCCUGGGGCUGGAGUUGGUCCCAAGGGUUGGGCUGUUCGCCCAUUAAAGCGGUACGCGAGCUGGGUUCAGAACGUCGUGAGACAGUUCGGUCCCUAUCCGCUGCGCGCGUUAAGAGACUUGAGGAGGGCUGUCCCUAGUACGAGAGGACCGGGACGGACGAACCUCUGGUGUGCCAGUUGUACCGCCAGGUGCAUGGCUGGUUGGCUACGUUCGGGAUGGAUAACCGCUGAAAGCAUCUAAGCGGGAAGCCGGCUCCAAGAUGAGGUCUCUAUACACUUUUGUGUGGGAGGGUCCCUAGAGAUGAUGGGGUUGAUAGGCCAGAUGUGGAAGCUGCGUGAGUGGUGGAGCUGACUGGUACUAAUUGCCUGAUGACAAACACGAC
rnacentral:rRNA from 2 species